rnacentral:lncRNA from 1 species
GUCAUGAAACAGAAGCUAAAGACGUGAAACAAAGAAGCGCGCCUUUAAGUAAGUAACUACAACAGGCGGAAGGCGUGGAUUCUGGCAACACGCUUUUAUUAAGUAAGAAGACGUGAGAAACAAAGAAGAUUGAAGGUGGAGGCGUGGGAAACAAAUCACGCCUUUUCUGGGAACAAGCUCAAGCAACGUGAGUUUCUGAGCAAGUGGCUCUCCAACAGAUUUCUGUUAUCCCUCACAUGGAUGAGCUGGAUUGGGAAGCAUCAGAGGAGCGGGCUAUUAGUUAACUCUAUAUAAAGAUAGGAUCAGUAGUGGAAAGGAUUAUCAUUUUGUUAGUCAAGUUGUAAGGGAUCAUUCCCUGGUUCUUUCUCUUCUGUUUUCCUAACAGCUUCCAGGUUCCUUUCCUGCAACUUAGCAGCUUCAAUGGUGUCUGCUAAGGUGAGGGGUCUGGUCAUCCUAACCAUACUUACUAUUUCCUCCUUUAAACCACUAAGAAAACACGAUUUGUAAUAUGAAUCAGGUUGACCAGGGAGAGAUAACAUUACCAUAGAUUUCAGUUGUUCAAACUUCUCCAGGUACUCAGUGACACUCCCUGUCUGCAUCAGCUUGUUAAAUUCCUCUAUGGCCUCCUCUGGAUCUCCCUCCCCAAACCUUUCACAAACCGCCAUUGCUAGUUCUCUCCAUGGAACUGUCCCCUUCUCGUGGUACAUGCCAUGGAACCAGAUGUCUGCCUUCUCCUGGAAAUGGAGUUGAGCAAUGUCUGAUUUCAGGCCUUCCUCCACUUCAUGGAUCUGGAAGUAUUUGUUUGCUCUUCUAACCCACUCUCUGGGUUUAUUUCCAUCAAACGCAGGGAAGUCCAUCCUUGGUAGUCUGGCUCCCCCUUUACUUCCCCCUUUCUCAGUUAAAUCUGUGGUAACUGCUAUCCUAGCCUCAUUCCUAGAACUACCCCCUUCUACCUCCUUCCCCUUGUCGUUUAGUUUGGCCAUGAUCUGAGCCAUCAUGUUCAUCAUCCCCUCAUAUUUCUGAUCUAAAUUUUUUAUGGCUCUAUCUGUGCUCUCCUGCCUAUGCUCCAUUGCCCUUACAGACUGUUCUACCCCAUCAUUCUUAUUGGCAAAAGUCCUCACCACACUCCCCAACUCAGUGAGCUCCUUUCUCAGAGCUUCCUCCUGAGUUUUAGUCAUGUCCCAAUGGCUUGUAGCUAGCUCUGAUACCACUGUAAUGGUAUCGAACAGUAGCCAGGCAACAGACCAGCUCCCAGUGGCAGGUUUAUGAACAGCACAGAACUAAUUUACCAACAGGAAGAACCAAUAUGAACUGAUGAAUAAUCAAUGAAUUAGUAUUGAUAUUGAUUGAAAAUAGAAGAUUACAGAGUUGGCGGAAAUAAGAAAGGAAAUGAAAGAUUGAAGGAAAACAGAAGAGAAAGAACCAGGGAAUGAUCCCUUACAACUUGACUAACAAAAUGAUAAUCCUUUCCACUACUGAUGAUAUACUGAUUUACAGUCCCUCUCUGGAAGUGCACCUGCAGCAGGUGGCAGAAGUACUAAACAUAUUGCAGGAAAAUCAACUGUAUGCCAAGAGGAGUAAAUGCUCCUUCGCACAAACUGAAGUAGAAUACCUUGGCCACAUUAUCUCAGGAGAAGGAGUAAGGGCAGAUCCAAAGAAAGUGGACAGUAUGAUGAAAUGGCCUAAGCCAGCUUCUGUCAAGGAGCUCAAGGGAUUUCUGGGUUUAACAGGGUAUUACAGAAAAUUUGUCAAGGGAUAUGGAGCUACUGCAAAGCCACUUACCAUAUUGCUAAGAAAAGAUGGCUUCCACUGGAAUACAGAAGCAGAGGAGGCCUUCCAGAAGCUCAAACUGGCAAUGUGCAGCACACCCGUGCUAGCCUUACCUGAUUUCACCAAGCCUUUUGAAGUGGAAACUGAUGCUUGCUAUGGAGGAAUUGGAGCAGUACUGAUGCAGAAUAAAAGGCCAAUCGCAUUCAUGAGCCAAAGCCUGGGUCCCAAGAACCUGGGAAUGUCCAUUUAUGAAAAGGAAUUGUUGGCCUUGGUAACUGCUGUCACUAAAUGGAGGCACUACCUGGAGGGGAGUCAUUUCAUUAUUAAGACUGACCAUCAGAGUCUUAAGUACCUCCUAGACCAAAGAGUCACGACAACACUUCAGCAGAAAUGGCUCACCAAACUGCUAGGACUAAGCUAUGAGAUCCAAUACAGAAAAGGGAAAGAAAAUGUAGCAGCAGAUGCUCUAUCCAGGAGGGCAAGCAGAGAAGAAGGAGAUUGUACUGAGCUGACAUGUGUCAUUCCAGAGUGGAUGAAGGAGGUUAUAGGUAGCUACCAAGGGGAUGAAGAAGUACAGAACCUGAUCAGACAGUUAUUGCUCACUCCUAGUAAUCCAUCAGAACACUCUUAUCAGGAUGGAGUGCUCAGAUACAAAGGAAAGAUAGUAGUUGGCUCAAAGGGAGAUGUGAGGAAGAAAAUCAUUGCUGCAAUACAUGGUUCACAACUUGGAGGUCAUUCUGGAAUUCAGGCUAGCUACUUAAGAGCCAAGCAGCUGUUCCACUGGCCAGGGAUGCACAGGGAUAUCAAGGAUACCAUUUUGCAGUGUGACACAUGCAAAAAAUGCAAGGAUGAGCACGUUGCUUAUCCUGGACUCCUGCAACCUCUUCCUAUACCUCAGUACUCAUGGAGUCAUGUCACAAUGGAUUUUGUCGAAGGCCUGCCAAUAUCAGAGAAGAGGGACACUAUUAUGGUAGUGGUGGAUAGACUCACCAAAUCAGCACAUUUCAUCAGCCUUUCACAUCCUUUUGAUGCCCCUACAGUAGCCAGACUCUUUUUGGAUCACAUCUGCAAGCUGCAUGGAAUUCCUUUAAGCAUGCUAUCUGACAGAGACAAGGUGUUCACCAGUCAAUUCUGGACUGAACUCUUCACUUUGUUGGGUACGGAUUUGAAGCUAAGCACAGCCUAUCAUCCCCAAACAGAUGGCCAAUCCGAGAGGGUCAACCAAGUGCUGGAAAUGUACUUAAGAUGUAUGACACAUUUGGAGCCAAGAAGAUGGAAUGCAUGGCUCUCCCUUGCUGAAUGGUGGUAUAACACUACCUACCACACAACUAUUCAGAUGAGUCCAUUCGAGGCAUUGUAUGGAAUGGCUCCUCCUCAACUGGCAGUAGGUCCCUAUUUACACCUUAGAGUAGCAGCAGUGGAGGACCAUCUGAAGGAUCGACAGAGGAUGGAUGGAAUUCUCAAAACCAACUUGCAAGAAGCCCAGAACAGAAUGAAGUUUUAUGCUGACCAAAAUAGAAGUGAAAGAUCAUUCCAGGUAGGGGAUUGGGUCUACUUAAGAUUACAGCCAUAUAGACAAAUGUCUGUGGAGUUGAGGAGCAACACCAAACUGUCAGCUAGAUAUUUUGGCCCUUAUCAAAUAGUUCAGAAAAUAGGAGAGGUAGCAUACAAACUUAAGCUACCUGAUGGAUCCAAGGUACACCCUGUGUUUCAUGUAUCCUUACUAAAGAAAAAGGUAGGAGGAAAUACAACUCCAGUGCUCCAGCUACCAAACUUAGACGAAAAAGGACAUUUGAGGGUGACACCAGCAACAAUUCUGGAUCGCAGAAGCAUCAAGAAGAGAAAUGCAACAACAGUGCAGUGGCUCAUUCACUGGUGGGGAACUACUCCUGCUGAAGCUACUUGGGAAGACGCAGAGAAGAUAAGGAAGGAAUUCCCUGAAUUUCAAUCUUGAGGACAAGAUUGAUUGAAGGAGGAGCAAUUGUCAUGAAACAGAAGCUAAAGACGUGAAACAAAGAAGCGCGCCUUUAAGUAAGUAACUACAACAGGCGGAAGGCGUGGAUUCUGGCAACACGCUUUUAUUAAGUAAGAAGACGUGAGAAACAAAGAAGAUUGAAGGUGGAGGCGUGGGAAACAAAUCACGCCUUUUCUGGGAACAAGCUCAAGCAACGUGAGUUUCUGAGCAAGUGGCUCUCCAACAGAUUUCUGUUAUCCCUCACAUGGAUGAGCUGGAUUGGGAAGCAUCAGAGGAGCGGGCUAUUAGUUAACUCUAUAUAAAGAUAGGAUCAGUAGUGGAAAGGAUUAUCAUUUUGUUAGUCAAGUUGUAAGGGAUCAUUCCCUGGUUCUUUCUCUUCUGUUUUCCUUCAAUCUUUCAUUUCCUUUCUUAUUUCCGCCA